UUGAAAAGCACUGUACGGCCCAGGAGAAGGACUGCAUCAAGUACACAUCACUACCUUGCUGGUGCUUCAUCACAGGGAUGGAAGAGACCCAGAACAGAGCUCCCUUGAGAAGCCCUAUGCGGCCCAGGAGAAGGACUGCACCAAGCACAUCACUCCCUUGCUGGUGCUUCACAGGGAUGGAACAGACUCAAAGUACUGCAAAGUUGUUAACUUGUUGAAUGCCUUGAACACGCUGUUCGACGCCAUCAUUUCCAACUAUGACGUCUAAAAGGUUGAAAGUAUCGACGAUGCCUACAUGUUGGUCUCCUGCCUACUGAUCCGUAAUGGCAGCCGUCAUGCUGGUAUGAUCGCCUCCGCUGCAUGGCAUCUCCUGCAGGGCGUUAAUAGUUGAUCAUGCCACACAAACAAGAUGAGAAACUCAAACUCCUCAUCGGUAUUCACUCAGGGCAAAGGUGAAAGCCUGACGUACUGGCUCGAGGGACAUGAUCCAAGCUACAAGAUCGACCAAAUCAAGCCACCCAAACAAAACUUGUUAACAACCAGAAUAUUAUCCCAACAUUAUCUGCAACGCAUUUGGAUCAGCAAUUUUUUGUAAAGAGGUGAUGGCAGAUCUACCAGCUCACUUCACAUCAGAGAGCUCUCUUGAGAAGCACUAUAGAAGCACUAUAAGGCCCAGGAGAAGGACUGCUUCUCACGGCUAGAACAGACUCAGACCAGAGCUCUCUUGAGAAGCACUGUAGGGCUCAGGAGGAGGACCGCAUCAAGUACA